UACGUAGGGUGCGAGCGUUGUCCGGAAUUAUUGGGCGUAAAGGGCUCGUAGGCGGUUUGUCGCGUCGGGAGUGAAAUCCACUGGCUUAACCCUGGGCUUGCAGUGGAUACGGGCAGACUAGAGGCAGGUAGGGGAGAAUGGAAUUCCCGGUGUAGCGGUGAAAUGCGCAGAUAUCGGGAGGAACACCGGUGGCGAAGGCGGUUCUCUGGGCCUGACCUGACGCUGAGGGGCGAAAGCGUGGGGAGCGAACAGG
rnacentral:rRNA from 1 species